rnacentral:rRNA from 1 species
UACGAAGGGGGCUAGCGUUGCUCGGAAUCACUGGGCGUAAAGCGCACGUAGGCGGAUUGCUAAGUCAGGGGUGAAAUCCUGGAGCUCAACUCCAGAACUGCCUUUGAUACAGCACGUCUUGAGUCCGAUAGAGGUGGGUGGAAUUCCUAGUGUAGAGGUGAAAUUCGUAGAUAUUAGGAAGAACACCGGUGGCGAAGGCGGCCCACUGGAUCGGUACUGACGCUGAGGUGCGAAAGCGUGGGGAGCAAACAGG